rnacentral:rRNA from 1 species
CCUACGGGUGGCAGCAGUCGAGAAUCAUUCACAAUGGGGGAAACCCUGAUGGUGCGACGCCGCGUGGGGGAAUGAAGGUCUUCGGAUUGUAAACCCCUGUCAUGUGGGAGCAAAUUAAAAAGAUAGUACCACAAGAGGAAGAGACGGCUAACUCUGUGCCAGCAGCCGCGGUAAUACAGAGGUCUCAAGCGUUGUUCGGAAUCACUGGGCGUAAGGCGUGCGUAGGCUGUUUCGUAAGUCGUGUGUGAAAGGCGCGGGCUCAACCCGCGGACGGCACAUGAUACUGCGGGACUAGAGUAAUGGAGGGGGAACCGGAAUUCUCGGUGUAGCAGUGAAAUGCGUAGAUAUCGAGAGGAACACUCGUGGCGAAGGCGGGUUCCUGGACAUUAACUGACGCUGAGGCACGAAGGCCAGGGGAGCGAAAGGGAUUAGAUACCCCAGUAGUC